CACUUGACCCUUGACGUUAGCCCGUACGAUUCGCCAUGAAGUCGCGAUCUCAAGCGAUCUAGGAAAGCCGCCUCUUGAAUCCUUUCUUAGUCCGUCUUUGAACUCGUCGUCGUUACCGUUAGUCGUGUCUCUUCUAUUUUGUGCUUUUCUCUUUAAAAUAUAUAUGUACAUAUUAUCAAUCGAUUUGACAAUGAUUGAAUGAAAUGAAUAUCAAGAAGAACGAGAUAUUUGAAUAGUGAUUAGAAAAUGUUUCUCAAGGCCGAAAGGAUUAUACUUUACAUGAGAAAAUUUCUUAAAAUGAAUGUUUCCAUUUACUGGUUACCAUUUAAUUAAAUUAUUUAUUUAUUUAUUUAUAUUCAAACAAGACAGGUCUAAUUUAUCUUAUAUAUAAAAUCGAUUAUGCUAAAAUAUCCAGAAGAUAUAUUAAACGAAUCGGUAAGCCGUUACGUAUAUUUGAAAAAUAAAGGAAACGAACGAGAAAAGCCUAGGAAGGAAGGAAGGAAGGAAGGAAGGAAGAAAGGAAAGAAGACAAGAAUGAAUUCUACGGAAGAUUCUGAAUUGCCGAUCGAUAUGAGAUUCAAUGGGGGUCAUAUAAUCAGUAUCGUCACUUAUAGCGUUCUAAUGGGAAUUUCAGCAAUCGGGAAUAUUACUGUUCUUUUUCUGAUCCUACGAAGUCGUCGUUCAUCCAAAUCAAGGAUAUACACGAUGCUGAUGCAUUUAGCUAUUGCCGAUCUUUUCGUAACGUUCCUGAUGAUGCCUUUGGAAAUUGGUUGGGCGAUAACCGUGUCAUGGAAGGCUGGCGAUGCCAUGUGUAGGAUUAUGGCAUUCUUUCGAGUAUUCGGACUUUAUCUUUCGUCAUUUAUUUUAGUCUGCAUUAGUAUGGACAGAUAUUAUGCAGUGAUCAAGCCUCUUCAAUUAUUGCACGUAGAUAGACGAGGGAAAGUCAUGUUAACGAUAGCAUGGUUAGCUUCGAUAUUUUGUUCUAUACCACAGAUGAUGGUAUUUCAUUUGGAAACACAUCCGAAUAUUACAUGGUAUUCCCAAUGUAUUACAUUCAAUGCAUUCCCAACUUACACACACGAACUCACCUAUUCGUUAUUCGGAAUGGUUAUGAUGUAUUGGUUGCCAUUACUAGUAAUUAUUUAUACAUAUACGAGUAUAUUGUUAGAAAUUUGUAGACGUUCGAAAGAAAGCGUGGAAGAUAGGAUACGUCGUUCGUCUUUGGUAUUCCUUAGUCGUGCUAGGAUACGCACCUUAAAGAUGACUAUCAUUAUCGUUGCUGUUUUUUUCGUUUGUUGGACUCCGUACUACGUAAUGAGCCUAUGGUAUUGGAUCGACAGAACAUCCGCGAGAAAAGUCGAUCAGAGAAUUCAAAAGGGAUUGUUUCUUUUCGCAUGCACAAACUCCUGUAUGAAUCCUAUCGUUUAUGGUAUUUUUAAUAUAAGGGAUAGAAAGAAGAGUACAACGUCUCAAUGCGUAACUUCCUUGACAAAUAAUCCUAAAUCGUCCUUGAAAGGCCGACAAAUAUCCUAUGAAAGCUCUAAAGAUGGAUCGAUAGCUAAAUCGAAAGAUCGGGUCGUCGAUCUUCAACUAAAAACCAUCACUGGUAGUUCUAUUGGGUUGACUAAUAACUAAAUGCAUACGUACGUAUGAAUCGAGAAAGGAUCAUCGAGCUUCGAAGAAAACCUAAAUAAAUACGCGGAGACAACAUGAAGAUUUAUUGAAGAUUUAUUGAUAAGUGGUACCACUUCCCACACACGUGCCUAACUGGUACACACGCUUGUGUUAUGUGCCUGCAUUUAACAAGGUGUAUUAUCGUUCGAGAUAUAGAGAAAAAUUCUUGCGGGGAAAUUUCUGUGACUGGAUAUUUCUAAAAAAAUAAUCUGAGCAUCUUAUCACGCUCAACGUUAUCAAAAUCUAGGAAGUGGAAAAACCGGAUAUUGUAAGAUGUCUGCAAUUCUGAUAUUAUCUCAUUGUUGUGAUUCACAUUUCUCUGCGUGUGUGCGUGUGUGUGUGUGUGUGUGUGUGUGUGUGUGUGUGCAUACAUAUUCUUAUAUUAUACCUAUCAACGAGUUAAUAUUGCCUUUUUUAUAUUUAAUAAUUUUUUUUUUUUAAAUAAUUAAAUCAAAUUUUAUUAAAAAGUCAUGGUAAAUUUAGUGGAUUGAAUUUUGUGAUACAUUUAAUGUGCAUGUGAGUGUGCGUGUGCGUGUGCGUGUAUAUAUAGAUUCCAGAUAUGUACAUAUGUGUAUGUAUGUCCGUCCGAAGAUUAUUGUAAUAUGUAUAUUAAUGUAAAUGAGUUGUGUACG